AAUGUUAAAUAUUUUGGAAGUUUUAUUUUAGUAACUAAUCGUGUAGUUAAUGUAGAGAGUCUUUGGGAAGAUAGUUAAAUGUCAAAUAUUUAAUUUAAAGAUUUACUUUCUAAUUAUCAAAAAUAAUUAUUAAAUGUCAGUGGCAGCCACUGUAAAUAAGUCUCAACUUGAGGAUUUAUUUCACAAAGUGGCUGCAAAAAUGUAUAUGUAGAUUAGUAAAUCCAAAGAUACCAUGAACAAUAUAUAUUCGAAUUUGGA
rnacentral:sRNA from 1 species